AAUUAGAUAAUUAUUAGUGUUUUAUAGAAUAUGUACCUAAUAAAAAAAACUCCGACACUUAAGGACUGUAUAAAGAAGUGAAACCUCAAUCAGAUAAUGAAGGGAAAUUCAAAAUAAAUCUAAUUCCCAUCCAUAGGUGGGUUAUGCGUAUAAUACAUCGGACUGUACGAUUGAGGCAUAGCCAUUUCUGGAGAAUAAAUGGGAUAGUACGACUGAGGAAUUGAUGUGGGAACGGCACCAGGAGGAAGGGUAGCCAUUGACUGGUGAAAUGUUGAAAACUGAUCCAUGGGUGCAGGGAUUGGCAUCAUUGCAUUACGAGGUGGUGAAAAUGGCGCUGGAAACAUCGGAUAUGGAUAGGAGGGAUAUUGAUAUUGAGGGGAAAAUUGCUGCAUUGGUCUUAGUUGACGAAAUUCAACACGCAAAGGCUUUUUCUGGUGUGGGGACCUCGUCUUACCGCAGACGGCAGCAUAAGCGGCUUGUUGAGAAUCAAACCUUAGAAAAGCAAAAGCAGGCUUCUUGCUUUGAUGAAUUAUUUUACAAUCGAUUACCUUUCCAUAUUUGGAAAAUAGAUCAACUAGUAAGUAGUGUGUGCAAUUUACUGGGUCGAGUUGGCCAACGAAUAUAGAAUAAGGAUCAAUCGGUGGAGGCAUUGCAGCAAACAUCAUAGAGGGGUUCAUGGGAUAUCCAGGCUGUUCAAAAGAACCAUCUGUUGGGAGUUCGGCCUUGCCGCUUUCUAAAGAGGGUAUUGAAGGUAAUAUACUCGGUAAGGAGCUUAAAGAUUCAUUAGGAGUACUGAAUUCAGUAGAAUUGACCAAUGAGUGAGCAAAGUAUGAGGGACUUUGAACCGCGGAAUUUGAUCUUCCCAUGGUAGAAGGAGGAUCGGAAGAAACUGAGAAUGGAAUAGGGGCAGGUGCUUUGAUAACAGGAGUGUUCGACUGAUCUUUGCCUUGCGACUUUCGCCUUCGACUAUGUGCGUUAGGUGGAGAAAACGGGGAGGAACCUUUCUUCUUAUAGUGACCGUUUUGAUAUGUCACAUUUUCCGCCCAAAGUACAGGCCAGGCAGAAUGCUUAAGCGCGGUAUAGGCUGCGAUUGCUUCAUCCCUGUAAACAAACCGUACUAAGAAAGCGGAUUGAUCUGGUAUUUCCGUGACAUCUUCAACCUCGCCAUAAGGUUCCAAUAAGUUAUCUAUGUCUUUUUUUGUAAUGUAAGGUUGAUGGGGUGCAGAGGAUAUACGGAUUGUCCUAUUAACUUUGGCGCGCUCUAUACGUAUAUGACGGCCAUCCAAUAUCGUGUUUUGGGCUUCAGAAAGUGCUUUCGAUGCAUCAUCAGUAUUUUGAAAUUGAACAAAAGAAUAAGGCCUUUGCAACCAAUCUUUCAAAACUUUGACAUGCAACAAAGGACCCCACUGUUGAAAGUAAUCUUUAACAGUGGCAGUCAGCUCUUCCUCAGACCUUGAAGAGUUUAAGCUAGCAACAAAUAAACAGGCAACUGGUUUUCCACGGACAGACGACGGAUUUAAUACUCCACUGGAAGAGGAACUUGGGAUAGGGGUGCUUGAUGAUGCAGUUUCCAAAGGAGGCUUUAUAAAGGUAGUGGAAUUAUCAUUUUCGGAUAAAGAACCUGGGGGAAUGUCUUGUAAAAGCGUUGUUUUUUCGAGUUGGGCUGAUAAUUUUUCGACAGGAGAAUGCAAUAAAGAUACAGACGGAGAGGAAACAACCAUUUUUAAAUAAUGUGUUUAAAAAAAAAGUUUGGAAUGAGAAAGGAUCUAUAAAGGGGCAUGAAACAAGGAUGCCGGAUUGAUAUCAAAUUAAAAAGACAAAACUUUAUACGAGAUGCCUGCGCCAAAGUGGGAUGGAGGUCGUAUCAGUCGAUUAUAUGGAAUACAAUAGAUAGUUAUGAGAUGAUGUGUCAACAGCAA